GACUGAUACAAGGAACAUGGAAGAGAAGAUCAUGAGAUCCUGGGUGGAGGCUGUUGCAGUAUGAAGGGAGAAAAGGGAGUGGUAAUAAAGAGGUUGCCUCCUG
rnacentral:ribozyme from 1 species